rnacentral:rRNA from 1 species
ACGAAGGGGGCUAGCGUUGUUCGGAAUUACUGGGCGUAAAGCGCACGUAGGCGGACUGAUAAGUCAGGGGUGAAAUCCCGGGGCUCAACCCCGGAACUGCCUUUGAUACUGUCAGUCUAGAGUUCGAGAGAGGUGAGUGGAAUUCCGAGUGUAGAGGUGAAAUUCGUAGAUAUCUGGAGGAAUACCGGUGGCGAAGGCGGCAUCCUGGACCGGCAUUGACGCUGAGGAGCGAAAGCCAGGGGAGCAAACGGGA